rnacentral:rRNA from 1 species
UAGGGAAUCUUCCGCAAUGGACGAAAGUCUGACGGAGCAACGCCGCGUGAGUGAAGAAGGAUUUCGGUUCGUAAAACUCUGUUGUUAGGGAAGAAAAAAUGUAUAGUAACUAUAUACAAAAGAGACGGUACCUAACCAGAAAGCCACGGCUAACUACGUGCCAGCAGCCGCGGUAAUAUGGAGGUGGCAAGCGUUGUCCGGAAUUAUUGGGCGUAAAGCGCGCGCAGGUGGUUUGGAAAGUCUGAUGUGAAAGCCCACGGCUCAACCGUGGAGGGUCAUUGGAAACUAAUAAACUUGAGUGCAGGAGAGAAAAGUGGAAUUCCUAGUGUAGCGGGGAAAUGCGUAGAGAUUAGGAGGAAAACCGGUGGCGAAAGCGGCUUUUUGGCUGGCAACUGACUCUGAGGCGGGAAAGCGUGGGGAGCAAACAGG